CCCUUAGAUGUUCUGGGCCGCACGCGCGCUACACUGAUGCAUUCAACGAGUCUAAAACCUGCUCUGAUAGGGGUGGGUAAUCUUUUGAAUGUGCAUCGUGAUUGGGAUAGAUGAUUGCAAUUUUUCAUCUUCAACGAGGAAUGCCUAGUAAACGCAAGUCAUCAGCUUGCAUUGAUUACGUCCCUGCCCUUUGUACACACCGCCCGCCGCUCCUACCGAUUGAAUGAUCCGAUGAAUAUCAUGGAUUGAGGAUGCAAGUAGGUUCGCCUAUCUUCAUCUUCGAGAAGUGAAGUAAAUCUUAUCAUUUAGAGGAAGGAGAAGUCGUAACA
rnacentral:rRNA from 1 species